rfam:Strongylocentrotus purpuratus Contig101159_fixed, whole genome shotgun sequence.
UCAACAGUCCUUUUCAGGACUACAUACACUCAAGAAAGAAAGAUU